rnacentral:rRNA from 1 species
GACGAACGCUGGCGGCGUGCUUAACACAUGCAAGUCGAACGGAAAGGCCCUGCUUUUGUGGGGUGCUCGAGUGGCGAACGGGUGAGUAACACGUGAGUAACCUGCCCUUGACUUUGGGAUAACUUCAGGAAACUGGGGCUAAUACCGGAUAGGAGCUCCUGCUGCAUGGUGGGGGUUGGAAAGGUUCGGCGGUUGGGGAUGGACUCGCGGCUUAUCAGCUUGUUGGUGGGGUAGUGGCUUACCAAGGCUUUGACGGGUAGCCGGCCUGAGAGGGUGACCGGCAACAUUGGGACUGAGAUACGGCCCAGACUCGUAAGGGAGGCAGCAGUGGGGAAUAUUGCACAAUGGGCGGAAGCCUGAUGCAGCAACGCCGCGUGCGGGAUGACAGCCUUCGGGUUGUAAACCACAUUCGCCUGUGACGGAGCGUGAGUGACGGUAAUGGGUAAAGAAGCACCGGCUAACUCCGUG